rnacentral:rRNA from 1 species
GGGUUGUGAGGUUAAGCGACUAAGCGUACACGGUGGAUGCCCUGGCAGUCAGAGGCGAUGAAGGACGUGCUAAUCUGCGAUAAGCGUCGGUAAGGUGAUAUGAACCGUUAUAACCGGCGAUUUCCGAAUGGGGAAACCCAGUGUGUUUCGACACACUAUCAUUAACUGAAUCCAUAGGUUAAUGAGGCGAACCGGGGGAACUGAAACAUCUAAGUACCCCGAGGAAAAGAAAUCAACCGAGAUUCCCCCAGUAGCGGCGAGCGAACGGGGAGCAGCCCAGAGCCUGAAUCAGUGUGUGUGUUAGUGGAAGCGUCUGGAAAGGCGCGCGAUACAGGGUGACAGCCCCGUACACAAAAAUGCACAUGCUGUGAGCUCGAUGAGUAGGGCGGGACACGUGGUAUCCUGUCUGAAUAUGGGGGGACCAUCCUCCAAGGCUAAAUACUCCUGACUGACCGAUAGUGAACCAGUACCGUGAGGGAAAGGCGAAAAGAACCCCGGCGAGGGGAGUGAAAAAGAACCUGAAACCGUGUACGUACAAGCAGUGGGAGCACGCUUAGGCGUGUGACUGCGUACCUUUUGUAUAAUGGGUCAGCGACUUAUAUUCUGUAGCAAGGUUAACCGAAUAGGGGAGCCGAAGGGAAACCGAGUCUUAACUGGGCGUUAAGUUGCAGGGUAUAGACCCGAAACCCGGUGAUCUAGCCAUGGGCAGGUUGAAGGUUGGGUAACACUAACUGGAGGACCGAACCGACUAAUGUUGAAAAAUUAGCGGAUGACUUGUGGCUGGGGGUGAAAGGCCAAUCAAACCGGGAGAUAGCUGGUUCUCCCCGAAAGCUAUUUAGGUAGCGCCUCGUGAAUUCAUCUCCGGGGGUAGAGCACUGUUUCGGCAAGGGGGUCAUCCCGACUUACCAACCCGAUGCAAACUGCGAAUACCGGAGAAUGUUAUCACGGGAGACACACGGCGGGUGCUAACGUCCGUCGUGAAGAGGGAAACAACCCAGACCGCCAGCUAAGGUCCCAAAGUCAUGGUUAAGUGGGAAACGAUGUGGGAAGGCCCAGACAGCCAGGAUGUUGGCUUAGAAGCAGCCAUCAUUUAAAGAAAGCGUAAUAGCUCACUGGUCGAGUCGGCCUGCGCGGAAGAUGUAACGGGGCUAAACCAUGCACCGAAGCUGCGGCAGCGACGCUUAUGCGUUGUUGGGUAGGGGAGCGUUCUGUAAGCCUGUGAAGGUGUGCUGUGAGGCAUGCUGGAGGUAUCAGAAGUGCGAAUGCUGACAUAAGUAACGAUAAAGCGGGUGAAAAGCCCGCUCGCCGGAAGACCAAGGGUUCCUGUCCAACGUUAAUCGGGGCAGGGUGAGUCGACCCCUAAGGCGAGGCCGAAAGGCGUAGUCGAUGGGAAACAGGUUAAUAUUCCUGUACUUGGUGUUACUGCGAAGGGGGGACGGAGAAGGCUAUGUUGGCCGGGCGACGGUUGUCCCGGUUUAAGCGUGUAGGCUGGUUUUCCAGGCAAAUCCGGAAAAUCAAGGCUGAGGCGUGAUGACGAGGCACUACGGUGCUGAAGCAACAAAUGCCCUGCUUCCAGGAAAAGCCUCUAAGCAUCAGGUAACAUCAAAUCGUACCCCAAACCGACACAGGUGGUCAGGUAGAGAAUACCAAGGCGCUUGAGAGAACUCGGGUGAAGGAACUAGGCAAAAUGGUGCCGUAACUUCGGGAGAAGGCACGCUGAUAUGUAGGUGAAGUCCCUCGCGGAUGGAGCUGAAAUCAGUCGAAGAUACCAGCUGGCUGCAACUGUUUAUUAAAAACACAGCACUGUGCAAACACGAAAGUGGACGUAUACGGUGUGACGCCUGCCCGGUGCCGGAAGGUUAAUUGAUGGGGUUAGCGGUAACGCGAAGCUCUUGAUCGAAGCCCCGGUAAACGGCGGCCGUAACUAUAACGGUCCUAAGGUAGCGAAAUUCCUUGUCGGGUAAGUUCCGACCUGCACGAAUGGCGUAAUGAUGGCCAGGCUGUCUCCACCCGAGACUCAGUGAAAUUGAACUCGCUGUGAAGAUGCAGUGUACCCGCGGCAAGACGGAAAGACCCCGUGAACCUUUACUAUAGCUUGACACUGAACAUUGAGCCUUGAUG